rnacentral:rRNA from 1 species
AAGACCUUGCGCUUUUGGAGCGGCCGAUGCCUGAUUAGCUAGUUGGUGGGGUAAUGGCCUACCAAAGCUUCGAUCAGUAGCUGGUCUGAGAGGACGGCCAGCCACACUGGGACUGAGACACGGCCCAGACUCCUACGGGAGGCAGCAGUGGGGAAUUUUGGACAAUGGGCGCAAGCCUGAUCCAGCCAUGCCGCGUGAGUGAAGAAGGCCUUCGGGUUGUAAAGCUCUUUCAGCCGGGAAGAAAAGGUUGCGAUUAAUAAUCGCAAUUUAUGACGGUACCGGAAGAAGAAGCACCGGCUAACUACGUGCCAGCAGCCGCGGUAAUACGUAGGGUGCGGGCGUUAAUCGGAAUUACUGGGCGUAAAGGGUGCGCAGGCGGUUUUGUAAGUCAGAUGUGAAAUCCCCGGGCUUAACCUGGGAACU